rnacentral:hammerhead_ribozyme from 1 species
AAGCGAAACAUAGGCAUUCGUGCCUAUGUCUACCCAGUGUUGUGAUUGGGUACUGACGAGCAACUAAGA